rnacentral:misc_RNA from 1 species
UCCGGUUUGUCACCGGCAGUCUGGCGUGAGUCCCCAACUAAAUGAUGGCAACACGCCACAAGGGUUGCGCUCGUUGCGGGACUUAACCCAACAUCUCACGACACGAGCUGACGACAGCCAUGCACCACCUGCACACCAACCACAAGGGAACGCCUAUCUCUAGACGCGUCUGGUGCAUGUCAAACCCAGGUAAGGUUCUUCGCGUUGCGUCGAAUUGAACCACAUGCUCCGCUGCUUGUGCGGGUCCCCGUCAAUUCCUUUGAGUUUUAGCCUUGCGGCCGUACUCCCCAGGCGGGGCACUUAAUGCGUUAGCUUCGGCACAGGAGGGGUCAAAACCCGCGACACCUAGCACCCAUCGUUUACAGCGUGGACUAC